AAAUAUAAAACUAAUAUAUCUCAUGGUUAUUACUUAAUAUGGAAAUAUUUUGACUUGCAAAAUUCGUACCAGUUGUUCGGAGUGGCAAACAGGUACUGUUAUUGUUUUACAUGGAGUUAAAGGUUAUAUAUUAAAGACUAUUUUAUUCAAGAAAUCUCCAGACAAAUAACCUAAACUGAUAAAAAAUAUCUAAAGAAAAAGACGCAUUGUGGUAUGCUUUAUGAUGAACGAUAGAUUCUUGUUAUGAUGACGAUCAUGAGAACAUACUAUAUUUUCUUCGUUUGUGUUUGCUCUUUUUUAACCCAAGUAGAUAAUAAACCAAUUCCAAGCAGCAACGUUUCUCAAAAUACAGACUCAUCAGUAAAUAAAGCACAUGUUUUAUCAAUAAAAUGCGCUGCUCGCGUUUUGACGAAAGCAUCCAAAAUGAUGACGUUUUGCAACAGGCAAAGUAACAGAGACACGUGCUUGGCUCCUUCUUGUAACGAGUAUAUAAAUGCAACACCGGAACAAUGCACCGAGUUUGAAAAUGUGUUUAACUACCCAAUGGGACCUUAUUGCUUAGCACUUGCUAGCUUUAUGUUGAAUAUCAACACUCAUGUUGCGUACAGAAACUGUUGUUGACCAAUGUUUUCAAAUUGAUCAAAAUUUAGAAAAUCGUCAAAUGACAAAACACAAAA
rnacentral:lncRNA from 1 species